AGGGUGUAAACGCUGCGGGCUUGGUGUUGGGGGUCCUUUGAGGGCGCCCAGUGCCGGAGAGAAGUUGUUAAGCCUGCUGCUUGGGGAGUACGUCCGCAAGGAUGAAACUUAAAGGAAUUGGCGGGGGAGCACCGCAACGGGAGGAGCGUGCGGUUCAAUUGGAUUCAACGCCGAAAAACUCACCAGCAGCGACUGUUACAUGAAAGUCAGGUUGAUGACCUUACUAGAUUUUCAGAGAGGUGGUGCAUGGCGUAGACGUCU
rnacentral:rRNA from 1 species